AAAAAAAAAAAAUUAUGAGAAUGGAGCUUAGGAGGUGCCUGGAGGCCCAUCAGGCAAUGGGCAGAGUCUCAGGGAUCUGUGCUGGUUCAUGAAUGUGCUAAUAUGAAGGGGAACUCCCAAGCCAACCCCAGAGAUGACUAAACUGUUGAAAGCCCCCCGGGGCUAAACAGAGCAGGCAGCACCUACCGGGGGACUUUCUGCUUUGUGUCUCAGGAAGAGCCCUUGGGACAGAAAAACAAGGGGACCGACUACAACUGAUAGGGAUGGAGUUGGUACAGGUGGUUGUAGAAGUCCCAAUAGGGGAUCAUAGAUAAACAGGGAAACCUGGGGGAUGUUGGGAGACCACUGUAAGUUCAAGAAAGCCGUCAGCACAAGGCAGGCUUGCUGGGCUAGUGGAAGUGGAGAAUUGUGUCAGGUCACUGGGUAGGCACUGGAAUGAGGCCUGCAUUCAGAUUCAGACCAAGGGCAAGAGUUUGAGGGCGCCCUUCAGCUGAUUUGAAUAUACACCUUACCCGAUACUAAGGAGGAGCUACUACUCCCAGAACGGAAGAGGCGGGCCAUUCCAACUCCCACUCCCCUUGAAUGCUAAAACUGUGCCCGCCCGCCCUCCGUCCUGGGGGUGAAGCUUUUGUGCCUGCAGGCUUGCAUCUCUCACAAGCAUCCUAUCCUAAAAAAUCUAUUUCUUGCCUAUCACUUUGUCUCUCCCUGAAUUCCUUCUGCGUGGAGGCAUGAAGAACCUGAACUUCAGUAAGUUCAGAGAUAGGCUUAAUGGCACACUCUGGAAUGUUCCGUCUCCCGUGCUAUCAGGUACAGUGAUGAAACAUCAGCUCCUCUGUGACCAGCAGCACACCGGACAAAUGGCCUCUUAUCCACGUGCCCAGAAAGUCGCUGAAGGAAACUGAAAGCCAGUCCGUGGCGCUGCAGCUAGCUGGAUGGAGAACCCCACGCUCCCUUCCGGCAGGAAAGCCUUAGUCACCCCCCCAUUUCCCACCCCCCCGCCCGCCACAAAAUGCCACAAAAGGCGUUUUCUUACCCAAAUGCUUUUAAAGAUUCUUUACUCCCAUGGACCUACUUUGUUCAUUCAUUUGUUUCUUACUUUUGUCAUUAAAAAAGACCAUUUCAACUCUAAUAAGGGCCCCUUUUGUGUUCUUUGAGUGCUUUUGAAUCAAAGAGAAUACCUGUAAUUUUCCUGUCGUGAUCUAUUUUUCUCCUCCAGGAACUUUAAUCUAAAUGGAGAAGAAAGAGCCCUAAUUCUUGCUGAAGCCAGAAUUGCUUCUUGGAGGAAUCAGUCCAGUACCAUUCAGCUCCCUGGUAAUACCCAGAGGAUGAAGGAGGCAAGCUGACUGCUACAGGCUGAUCCUUGCCCCUGAAUGAACCCUAGAGUUGCGGACUCAAGAGCCUUCCUGCAAACUCAACUGCUGGGAGUAUUGGAGAGAAUGACACAUAGUAUUUGAUGUAUGGUAGCACAGCACAACAGGAGAUUGCUAGUUUGGUUGGUAUCCAGUGACCUGUGGGGAGAGUGAAAAGGCAGAUGCCAAAUUCUGUUUGCUCUGCACCUCCUGCCUGUGAGGAGGAUGUUAUCGCUUCUAUUUAAAGGUGGAGGGACUGUGGCCUUGAAAGAUAUGACAGUUUCACAAGGACAUACAGGUUGAACUGGCUGGAAUCUAAGCUGGCCUGACUGGAGGUCCAGGAUCCUUCUAGAACACCAUGAGGCUGUGGGAGAGGACAAGGACCCAUUCCCGAAGAGCAGCAUUUUGGACAAUGCUAGGAAACAGCCCAAGCAGAACAUUUGGUCUCGAGCGUGGGAUGUAUCUUUUUGCAGAGGGAGGAAGGGGGUGAGAAAGAUGGGAGGAAGGGGUUUUAACUGUAUUGGUAUACAUUUUUUCCUUCUAAAAACUGGCAGUAGGUGUCGAUUCGUGCUCAGUCUGUGAUGAAUACUCUGGGGUGUGCUGUAGUGUAUCUUAUAAUUUCCUACUUGAAAUAUUUCAUAAUUUAAAGUUAAAACAAGAAAAAAGGGCUAGACAUAAUUCCACCCACUCUCUUUCCUCUUUUACAGGUGACACAGAGUGAGGAAGGACCGUACAAGGACGGUCACAUUGCAAACUUAAUGAACUGAGUUGCUCUGAAAUAUUUUUCAAGCCAAAGCAAUAAAUGGUCUUAAACAUCCCAUGAGGUCCAUGGUGGGGUUUAACUGGCUCAGAGUUAUCCUGCGUGUGUAAGGUCACAACUGCUGCUACAGCAAGAGGUAUAUGUAAACUAGUCUUUUCAGGAAAUAGCCAGAGGGGGAAAAUAAGAUUAGACAAAGUUGCAAAAAACUUAGAGAAUAACAUAUGUCUUCCAGUAAAACCAUGAAAUUUAGUCGGAAGAGUUAUGUAGCAUUCUACAGACUUUUCAUGGUUUGAAAACUAUUAUUCUGGGAAAGGAAAUGUAAGACCAGGGUCGAAAUCAAUACUCCUAUCAGCCUAUCUAGUAUUUAAAGUCCAUUUUCAGACAUGAUCUCAAUGGAUGAUCACAGUUGCUCUGAGAAGAAAGAGAAGCAAAGAAGUUAGGUGAUCUCCUUGACAGCAGAGCUGGGUAGUGACAGAACCAGGCCCUCACCAGGGGCCUGCAUUGAGACUUGUUUGCACUAUGUCCCCUGCCCACCUCA